rnacentral:rRNA from 1 species
CCUACGUGGGGCAGCAGUGGGGAAUAUUGGGCAAUGGGCGCAAGCCUGACCCAGCAACGCCGCGUUAAGGAAGAAGGCUUUCGGGUUGUAAACUUCUUUUCUCAGGGACGAAGAAAGUGACGGUACCUGAGGACUAAGCCACGGCUAACUACGUGCCAGCAGCCGCGGUAAUACGUAGGUGGCAAGCGUUAUCCGGAUUUAUUGGGUGUAAAGGGCGUGUAGGCGGGAGCGCAAGUCAGAUGUGAAAACUCAGGGCUCAACCCUGAGCCUGCAUUUGAAACUGUGUUUCUUGAGUGCUGGAGAGGCAAUCGGAAUUCCGGGUGUAGCGGUGAAAUGCGUAGAUAUACGGAGGAACACCAGUGGCGAAGGCGGAUUGCUGGACAGUAACUGACGCUGAGGCGCGAAAGCGUGGGGAGCAAACAGGAUUAGAUACCCCAGUAGUC